GCAGUCGAACGAAGGCUUCGGCCUUAGUGGCGCACGGGUGCGUAACGCGUGGGAAUCUGCCCCUCGGUUCGGAAUAACAGUUAGAAAUGACUGCUAAUACCGGAUGAUGACGUAAGUCCAAAGAUUUAUCGCCGAGGGAUGAGCCCGCGUAGGAUUAGCUAGUUGGUGUGGUAAAAGCGCACCAAGGCGACGAUCCUUAGCUGGUCUGAGAGGAUGAUCAGCCACACUGGGACUGAGACACGGCCCAGACUCCUACGGGAGGCAGCAGUGGGGAAUAUUGGACAAUGGGCGAAAGCCUGAUCCAGCAAUGCCGCGUGAGUGAUGAAGGCCUUAGGGUUGUAAAGCUCUUUUACCCGGGAUGAUAAUGACAGUACCGGGAGAAUAAGCUCCGGCUAACUCCGUGCCAGCAGCCGCGGUAAUACGGAGGGAGCUAGCGUUAUUCGGAAUUACUGGGCGUAAAGCGCACGUAGGCGGCUUUGUAAGUAAGAGGUGAAAGCCCAGAGCUCAACUCUGGAAUUGCCUUUUAGACUGCAUCGCUUGAAUCAUGGAGAGGUCAGUGGAAUUCCGAGUGUAGCGG
rnacentral:rRNA from 1 species